rnacentral:rRNA from 1 species
CAUGCGGUGCUACCAUGCAAGUCGAACGAGAAGUACGUAGCAAUACGUAUUGUAAAGUGGCGCACGGGUGAGUAACACGUGGGUAAUCUGCCCUUGAGUUUGGGAUAACCCCGCGAAAGCGGGGCUAAUACCGAAUAAGACCACGGGGACCAAAGUCCCUGAGGUAAAAGGUGGCCUCUAUUUAUAAGCUACCACUUGAGGAUGAGCCCGCGGCCCAUUAGCUAGUUGGCGGGGUAACGGCCCACCAAGGCUAUGAUGGGUAGCUGGUCUGAGAGGACGAUCAGCCACACUGGAACUGAGACACGGUCCAGACUCCUACGGGAGGCAGCAGUGGGGAAUAUUGCGCAAUGGGCGAAAGCCUGACGCAGCAACGCCGCGUGGGGGAUGAAGGUUCUCGGAUUGUAAACCCCUUUCGAUCGGAACGAAUCCCCUCCUGGUAAAUAAUCAGGAGGAUCGACGGUACCGAGAGAAGAAGCCACGGCUAACUCUGUGCCAGCAGCCGCGGUAAGACAGAGGUGGCGAGCGUUGUUCGGAUUUAUUGGGCGUAAAGCGAACGCAGGUGGUUUGGUAAGUCAGGGGUGAAAGUUCGCAGCUUAACUGCGACACUGCCUUUGAUACUGCCUUUCUUGAGUAGAGUAGGGGGAAGCGGAAUUCCGAGUGUAGAGGUGAAAUUCGUAGAUAUUCGGAGGAACACCGGUGGCGAAGGCGGCUUCCUGGACUCUAACUGACACUCAUGUUCGAAAGCGUG